UUUAAAGGAUGUAUCUUUCAUGAGCACAUAUGUUAAUGUUAUAUAGGUCCUGCUGACAACUACAAUGUAACUUUCUAUUUAUAAAAAGGAAAAUGAAAAAUUGUAUAAUCAAGUGAAAGAUCUCCAUGAACAAGAAAAAUGAAGAGUGAAUGUUCAAGGAAAACCAGAGCUUAUUCAGCAAAUUAGCAUCCUGAAAGAAUAUCAAGAAAGAGAAAACAGGUUUAUUGGAAGACCUCAAAAGACUGAAGCAAGCAAGCUCUUGAAGCAGACUUGGGAAAAACAAAGAAAGAGAGAGACCAAGCCAGAGAGCAGGUGCGGGCACCACAGGGAGCACGCCGAGCUGGGAUGAGUACUUUAUACUCGUAACUGUGCUGAACUUGAGUCAGCAAUAAUUGCAAGAGUUGAAGAAACUCAAAAAUUAUUUUGAAGUCGUGGCAUUGUGUGCGCAGCUGUUUGCAGUCCUCCCAGCUGGACCGCGACCUUCCAGGGCCGGACACCCUUUUUAUCCCUGGGCCUGACACAUAGCUCUCAAGUGUUUGACAAGUGAACAGACAACACCGUGCUGUGUUUGUAGAAGACACGAGGGUGAAUAUGGCGUUCCCCACCGGGGAAAACAAAGGAGGAGUAAGGGAGUCCUCGAGAGGGCGGUGCUGGCCUUCCUGCCAACAUGAUGACAAGAAGCCCGAAUGAUCCAUCGAUGGGAAGAAGAUAAGAGCCGUGGUCACAUCUGGACCCCAAGCUUAGACAUGGUGCACGGGUGACAUUUAUCGACAAUCUGGCGAGGUUCCAGCCAGAGCUUGAGGCCGGGGCAGCAAACCGGGAGUGGCACUAAGGAGCAUCGUGGCGCAGAGGCUGGACUGGGGGCCCGCAAGCUCCUCCCAGGAGGAGCCUCAGGGUUUGGGAGGUGGCUAACGUGCCUGCUUCGUGUCACCAGCAAGUGAUGCCACCUGUGGAAAAUCAGCUGGAAUCCUGAGCCGGGUCAGCCUUGGGUGACGCGGUAAAGGCUCCUACCAGAGGAGGCGCCAGACGGACAGUGAACCAAGCAACAGGCUGCUGAGUUUGGGGCCUGUGUUUAUCGUGCUUUCCGUGUCUCUCUGCAUUUCAUUGUCACCCAGAGGAAUUGGGGCGGUGUUUCGAGGCUGAUGGCCUCUCUGUUCCUCAUCAGCCUGGCAAGCCCCCCAGCCCUGUCUGGCCAGACCUUGGCAAGCGCCUUCCCUUGUUCUAACAAAAGCCUUCCCACCCUCACCUGCGGUGAGCUUUUGUUAUCUUAAUUGAUGGGAAUGAGGAUACCUUACAGCCUCCUCAGGCCCUUCCUUAGGGCUUCUGCCCUUAGACCCCGGCAAGGGGGCCCUCUGCCCUGGGUCCUGCACUACAGAGGGUCCCUCUGGCCCUGACACUCCCUCUGGCCACGCCCUCCACGGGGUGGAGUCAGCAGGGCCAAGGGGACACGCCCAUUGGCUCCACCCCGUGCUCUGGAAACCCAGGACCCCAAAGGCCCUGCCCCAGCAGCCCCUGACCCACUUGUAGUGUCUGCAUUGACUCUCCCCAGAGUUCAGCUUCCCAGGACUCACACAGAGGCCAAUGGGCAGCUGUUGGCAUGGAGGGUAUGGACAGAACCCGGACGUGAGGUCUGAGUGUCCCCCUGUGCACAUCCAAGGCCCCUUGGGGCAUGGGAUGGACCCAGCAUUGGGAAGAAAAGGGUCAGGCUAGUGGUCAGAGACUGGGAAUCGGCUCUCCCCACAGUCACUUUCUGUGCGGGACUCCCCUGAGUCUGGGAAUUCUAAAGUUAAGCCUGGCCUUCCCCCUUCUAAUGAAUGUGUCAUUGUAAAGACAGGAGUUUAGAACCUACUGCACUUAAAAUGUUGACAUCUAUAGGAUGGGAACUCCCAGGUAUGCUCUGGCCCUGCACUUCCAAAGGUCCAGAGCAGUUCUGUUGGCUCUGCUGAGACUGCAAGAGGCAAAGACCAUCUCCAGAGAGGAGGGGCUCCUGCUUCAUGCUCCGAAGUCAGGAGCUUCUGAGCGGAUGAAACAAUGGACACUGAGACCCUUGAUUGUAAGUUGGUUUAGAGUGACGCCAAAGGUGUGUGUGAGGUGUGUGUGCGUGCGGGCUCGUGUGCAUCUGGGGACGUGUGUGGUACGUGACAGUGACUUUGCGUGUGUGUGCACGCCUGAGGACGUGUGUGGUUGUGUGUAUGUUAUGGGUGUGCGUGUGGCACAUGAUUCCGUGUGUGUGCGUGGGGAUGUAUGUGGAACAGAGGCAGUGUGUCUGCACGUGUGUUUGUGUGUACGUGCAUGCAUUAGUUUUAAGAAUAGCAGAAGCUGUCCUUUAGAAGUCUAAAGUCGUAAAAAUUGUAUGGUGUUCCUCACUGUAUAAUUCAAAAUGAAAAUAAUCUUCAAUCACCAGAAAUGUAGUCCCCCCCCAAUUCUGAUUUUUCCCCCAUAUUGAUUACGUCUUCAUUUGACUGAUGAGGAAACUAGCUUAGAGAUGUUAACUGACUCAGCCAAGGGCAUGGAGCUCGCGAGCCCAGGGCCAGGACGCAGUCCAAGCGGCGCGGCUCCAGAGGCCUGGAGGCCUGCUCACGACCGCACGUGGCCUCUUGGCUGGGGUAACAGAUUCUGAUGGGCCGGGGCCAGCGUGCAGGCUGCCCAAGCCGCGGACUCUGCAAGUCGGGUGGAGAGUACCAGACAGCAGACGAGGGUAAAGGGCUGCUGAGAAAUAAGAUAGGUUCCUAGAUCUUUGAUGAGUAAGGAGGCUCACUGCUCAACCUCGAUCCCUUUGCUGGUGGCUAACAGGGACCAAGGCCCACCAGAGCGCUCCUGGGAGCUGCCUGCCGAAACCUGGAACAGGACUGCUCAGGACUGGCUCUGCAGCAGGAGCAGAGGGAGGCAAUGAUGCCACAUGGUGGACAUCCUGGGUAGUGGCAGUAGGAGGCCUAGCAGCCUUGGUAUGGAGGUGGCAGGACGAGGUCCUAGGGGAUGAUCAU